UACAGAGGUCCCAAGCGUUGUUCGGAUUCACUGGGCGUAAAGGGUGCGUAGGUGGCGAGGUAAGUUUGACGUGAAAUCUCCGGGCUUAACCCGGAAAUGGCAUUGAAUACUCUCUCGCUAGAGGGUUGGAGGGGGGACUGGAAUUCUCGGUGUAGCAGUGAAAUGCGUAGAUAUCGAGAGGAACACCAGUGGCGAAGGCGAGUCCCUGGACAACUCCUGACACUGAGGCACGAAAGCUAGGGGAGCAAACAGG
rnacentral:rRNA from 1 species